ACAAAUGGGCCUGGGUGCAGCCAGGCUCUGAGGCUGCCCACGCUCUGGAUGGUGCCCCGCCUUCGCCUGCCUUUGGAGGAGACAGGAAUGCACGCCUGUCCCACCCCCACAGUUCCCAAACACACAUCCCCAUCACGUGAUGUAGCCACCGUGACUGCAGUGAAAAUCCAUGCCUCACUCCCAGAGUCAGGUAGAUGGAGUGGAAACAGAAGUCACUUCCCCUUUCUCACCUUUUGGGAGAGGCCACCGGCUCUUGCGAUUUGGGUUUCUGUCUGGACCAAGCUGAGCCAGCGCUGGAAGCCCAGAACCGACUCUUGUGGUCAGUUUGUGUUAGCGAACUUUUACAAAUGUGCACUGUCUGGGGGAGUGGUUACAUUUAGAAAAAUACAAUUUAGAGGAAAAUGGGAACGUCCUUAUGAAAUUACAUAGCAACAGCAAUGUGAAAGUGUCACUUCAGAAAUGAGGGCACACCGGCCGGACACGGUGACUGACACCUGUAAUCCCAGCAGUUUGGGAGGCCGAGGCAGGCGGAUCACGUGAGGUCAGGAGUUCAAGACCAGCCUGACUAACAUGGUGAAACCCCGUCUCUACUAAAAAUACAAAAAUUAGCUGGGCGUGGUGGCGCACACCUGUAAUCCCAGCUACUUGGGAGGCUGAGGCAGGAGAAUUGCUUGAAAUUGGAAGGCAGAGGUUAUAGUGACCCGAGAUGGUGGCACUGCACUCCAGCCUGGGCAACAGAGCGAGACUCCGUCUCAAAAAUAAAUAAAUGAGGGAGCAGCUACCUACCCCCUUGCCGUGCGGGUCAUCGUUGUACAUCUUCAUAGCUUUGUGUUUGGCUUCCUGGAAACCUGUUGUUGCCAAUUGAAAGCUGAAAUACCCUCAGAGCUGCACCUGUGAAACUCUGGCAGUGAACUUGGUGAAAACUCAGGGGCUUGGCGUGUUGUAGGAGGCUGCGCUGCAGGAUGCGUGGGGCUAGGGGCUGGCUUGGGUGGGCUUGGGCCUCUGGCUUGACUAGUCUGGUGGAUUUUGGUGUUUUCUUGUUUUGUGCUGCCCAUGUGUCUCUGUUUAGACAGAGAGGAUUCCUUCUUAUUCCUUCUUUGCCCAGAAGCCAAAUGGCGCAAUCUUUGUUUUGUGCCUGAGCCCCUUUCUGUUUGUUUCUCCAGAAGCUUGAAUUCGUGUCCCUGCCUGUCCAGAGCAGAGGAGCCCGUGGUGUAACGAGGGAGGGGGCAGCCCUCACAGUGCCUCUCUGAGCUGCGGCCACAGUGGCAGGCACGCGGAUCUCUCUGGAGGAAUGUAUCUGAGGUUGCGUCUGAGUCUCUUGGAUGCUCUAGAUCAGCUGGCACGAGUGUGGGUAGUGAAGGACACCUGAGUUUCUCGCCUGUCUUUAAAAACGUAAAAUGUGCCUGAUCUUCAGGAUUCCUGGGAUUCACUUCGUCAGAGAUGUUUGUCACUUAUCUUCUUUCCUUCUCUAAAUCAGUUUAUUCUGCACGAUUAAAUAGCAUGCGUAAUCUUGUGUAUCAGGUUUUUGGAAAACAGCCUUUUUGAUAGAACCUGGAUAUCGAGUGUGCAUGGGUCUCACCUCUCUGAGAAACGCACUGAACUCGGCGUUGCUUCUUCCCUGUGUGCGCUCAUCCCUCUUUUCCUCCCAGGUGCAGCUUGCUCGUUGGCAUGGGGACCUGCCCACCGUGCCCUGCCCAGGCUCUGUGCCACCAGGGGGCCCAUGCAUGGUUGCCCAGCUUGCUCUGGCCUUGCUUUACGCCUGUGCCCAGCAAGCCCCUCCAGUCCUAUGCCGCCACCUCCAAAACCCUGCAAGCCCCUUCUCUCCUGCACAGCCUCCCCAGGUUGCCAGCAGCUCAUCCUGCAAACCCCCUGGCAGGGAGCCUCGGAGCCAGUGUCACGUGUGCAGCGUAGUGCAGCCACACAGCCGCCUCUGUCCCAGCUUUCUCCUGCUCCAUGACCCUGGGAAGCCGCUUAUGCUCUGUGUGCCUUGUUUUCCCAUCUAGGAAGUGGGGAUACUAAGCGGUCCGCCCCCGUGAGCCUGAUGAGGGUUAAGUGGGCUGUGCACUCAUGUGCCCCUGCAGGUGUUGGCAUCAUUGUUGUAGUCAUUGCCUUGUUCUUAACCUGCCACCUCCCAUGCUCUCUCACUCCCCCAGCCAGCCCCUGUCCGUCCUCAGUGUCUCAGGGGCCCUCCCCCAGCCCCGCCAUGAGCAGGGCCCUCAUUUGGAACCCGCUGGGAUUGCCCCAUCUUCUUGUGGGAAGAAGCCUCCUGUGCAGGUUCCUCCCCUCCGGUCUGUCCUCCUGUAUCCACCGGACUCUCCUUGAAGGCCUGGAGGCCCCCACGCUGUCUAGAGCAGUACUGGCCAGGUCAGGAGCCACCAGCCACGGGGAGCUGUUAAAUAAAUAAGUCAGAAUUAGAAUUCAGUUUCUCAGUCACAUGUGCACCACAUCCAGUGCACGGCCCACGGCUGUCCCCUGAAUGUUCUCAUUGUCACAGAAGGUCCUGGCAGGGCGGCACUGGCCUGGAGUGAAGUCCCAGCUUGUGAGCAGGAACUCCAGCCUUCCUCUAGAAGCCUCGUUUCUCUUCCCUAGUCCGGUACAGCAGCCAGGCCAGCCGGCUCAAUGCUGGACCAGACCGCAGCCAGCCCCCAGAGCCAGGGCUCUUUCCCAGGGCCCUUUUCCCCAUCAGGUGUGGUUCGUCUGCCCCCUCAUCCCAGGCUUCCAUCCCUGCCCCAGCCCUGCCUUGUUGCUCCUUCCCUGGAUCACACUGCAUCUUCGUUUCCAUGUUCUGCCCUUUCCUGCAGUUUUUGACGAACUCUUGCUUGAGUUGGUCUCCUGGACAGCAGUGCCUGUGUUUUCCUGGCCCACAGACAGACCCACCUUAUCGCUGGUAAUCGUGGUGCAUAGGUGUAUAGGAUAUCAAAGCUAGAACAGCCCUCCAGCCACAAAUGCUUUGAAACAGAGGCCUCUGUGGGUGAGGUCACUGUCAGAGACCAGAGGGGUGAGCCAUGGUCCAGGGUCUCCCAGAGCUGCCUCCUACACGCCACAUACCUCCAGUCAGCCCCUUUCCGCACCGCUCCGGGCAGUUCCUCGCCAGUCACAGGCUGGGCGUGCCUCUUCUAUGUCCCUGUUCAUGUGCUGCUCCAGUGCGGCACUCCGCACGUGGUCACUGUGGACUCAGAUCUUUGCAGAGUGUCUGGUACAUCCUCGGAGAUUAGUCUCCGCAUAACUAGCUGAGGCGGGGAGUGGAGCUCAGGAGCCCAUUCCCGGGUAAGAAGGAAAGUGUCUGUGCAGAGCCCUGUGCUGCUGCUUUAGUUGGACGCAAAACUGUGGGCAUGAUUGUUGCCUGGACAGCCCAGCUAAGUCCUUUAUGAUGCCCGUGUGGCUGAGAAGCAGGACUUUGAGAACCAUGCAAUCUGCUGUCAGGACCCGAGAGACAGGGCCCCCCAAGACCCAGGAGGAGCUUGGUAGUACAGGCAUGUGGAGGAGAAGGCUGGAGACCAGGGCUGUGCCGCAGGUGGGCCUAGGGAAGGCUUCCCGGAGCAGUGGCGUCGGAGCUGAGAUCUCAGUAGGAGCUUGCAGGCGGAGAGGGAAGGGCACAGGUGGAGGGAGAUGUGUAUGCCUCGUGGAGGUGGCCCUGUCACAGAUCUUUCUAGCAUCCUGAAACAGAGCAUGCCACCAGCGUCUUAAGGCUACGUAGCCUUCCUGAGCUGGCAGUGGAGACCCACUGUCCCGCUGUCACAUGCUGAGUGGAGGGUGCCCCUGGCUUCUGUGUUAGCGAUGGCAUGCUACUGUUUAGGCCUCAUUUCCCCAAAAAACAGCGAGUCCCAGGAAGGGCUUGAGCACAGCUGGCCGUGGUUCAUGUCCUAUAAUUGGCACGCGAGGCUGUGGUCCUCAGCCCUGGCCUGGCCUCAGCUCCAUCCCCAGAAGCUCAAACAGAUGCUGAUUGGUCCAAGCGAAUCCAGAGCACCCACAUUGUUCCCUUGGGCGGCCGGGAUUGCAAACUGUGAGUUGGAUCUAACUCUUGCCUGGUUUGCUUCUCAAUGGAAGGAUUUUAAAGAAUUUUGCAGAAAAAGCAAUGGAAUACACCAGAUGGACUUCUAAGGACUCAGGCACCCUGAAUUGUUCAUCUCAUGUGAAUUCAUCACCUAAACAGAAUCCCAGUGUGUGCAGACCCGCUCUUCAAAACUGGGUCCGGAACUUGAGAGCAAUCCAGUCUUUCACCUUCUUUUUUCUUAAAUCCCCAUACCUGGUGGGGUGUGUCUAAGUGAUGCAUUUGCACACUCACUAAUUAGUUUGGGUAUUGCUGAGCAGGGUGUUCUAAACUUAGACCCUGGAUGGCUGGGUGCAUUCCAGCAUGCUCACUCGGGAACUGUCAUUGCAAUUAUUGUGAUUGUGUGUUAGAGUAUGGACUUCCAGGGGAGCUGGCCACUGAGCACAGUUCAGGCCCAGCCCCAAGUGCCUCCAGGAGGAGCAGGAGCCGGCAGCCAUAGGGACACAGCCGUCCAGCACCAGGAGCCAGGGUCAGCUCAGGAGCCAGGGUCAGCUGUUGCCCUUGCACUGGGCACAGGGAAGGGCUUCUGCCAGUGCUCAGGGCAGAAAGAGCAGAAGCUGGAAAAACCCUGGCUAAGAUGCCCAGGGGAGGAGCCCAGAGCAGGGGGCCACUGGGACCACAGGAGCCAGGCUCUGCCCCACACCCCGCCCAGCACCACACAGCCAGCCCCUGCAGCUGGGUCACCGACCACAGAAUUGUGUCCUGAUGGACUUAUGCUCAAAAGUCCCUGACAGCAUAUCCUGAAGACCACAUCAUGGUCUGUCAUCAGAAGCUCUUGUUAAUGAUCUCAGGGAUCCAAAUUGGAAACCACCCUGCCAGCAAAUAGCAUUGCUAUGCAGAGGUCAGGGCGCUGCUUUUCAAGGAUACCCAGGGGUAGGGUGUCCCUGUGUAUGGCGGCCCUGGGUUUUGCACCCUGGAGGCAGCAGAGUGAAAUUCUGAGUGGGCGAGAUAGGCUGAGAGAGAGUGAGGGGCUGGUCCGUGGGGAGUGCAACUGGAAAAGGAACAGGGCCGGUCUGCACAGGGGUCUCUGCUCACACCAGUUCUGAAAAUGAAGCCCUGUUCCAAUGGGGCGUAGGCUUGUGUCCCCGUGUGAAGCUGGUGGCCUGGGAAAUUCCUGGGCCCAUGCGGAGGAUGGCGGGAGGCAGAGCCCUGGACCAGAAGGAGCCUGGGAGCGCUGUGUAGCCCCCACUCACACCGCUGGCUCGAGUCGCUUGUUCCUUACCGUGUGUCACACCAGGAAGCUGAAUCCUAUGAAGUUGGCGUGUCCUUCUCCUCUGCAGAGGGUCAGGCCUGGGCAGGGGACUGUGCAGCUCAUCACCGCCUCCACCCCUGAAUGGUGUGCACACUGAGGCUUUGGGGGAAAACAACGCUAAGGAAAAUGUAUUUCAGGUUCCCAUUGCUUUCCGAGGAGAGACCUUUCCAGCAACUACGUAGCCUUUGCGUCCCCUGAAAGCAGCUUUGUGUGACUGACUUCCUUAUUUCCUCCGUGAAGUAGUUCAAUCCCACGUAAUACACACGUCAACAAUUGAAAAAUUCUGAAAUGCCUUCUUUUUUUUAUUUUUUUUUUGAGACAGAGUCUCGUUUGUCGCCCAGGCUGAAGUGCAGUGGCAUUAUCUGGGCUCACUGCAACCUUGCCUCCCAGGUUCAAGCAAUUCUUCUGCCUCAGCCUCCUGAGUAGCUGCGAUUACAGGCAUGUGCCACCAUACAUGGCUGAUUUUUGUAUUUUUAGUAGAGACGGGGUUUUGCCAUGUUGGCCAGUCUGACCUCAGGUGAUCCACCCACCUCGGCCUCUCAAAGUGCUAGGAUUACAGCCACCACCGCGCCCAGCCUGAAAUGCCUUCUUUAGGAUGGUUUACCUUUUUCUUUUUUUACGUUUUCAGGGAAUGAUUCUGAAUGGAUUUUUAGUUAUUCACUGUAAUUUAAUAGCCAAGCAUUGAUGAUAAAAUUUAAGAUAACAUGUCUUUCCGGAAAGUUGUGGGGUUGGGUGAAAAGGGAUGGUGGUUUAGAGAACACUAGUGAAUAACUUUUGAAAAGGUAGUGAAGAGCAGCCUUGCUGGGGUCUUGCUGGGUUUAGUCUGUCUGGAUGUGUCCUUUGUGUUUGCAUAUCACGUAGUAUUUCUUAAAUUUAGAAAUAGCCCCUGCAAAGGGACUUGAGAAGCACUAAGCAGCAUGGCUCUCACUGGGAGGCUUGGACUCCACUAAACCUGAUGACACACCCAGCUGCCCUGCGAGCCCUGGCAUCAGUGUCCUGGGGGAGGGACAGGACAGGAGCUGCCACUUGCCGGCAGGGCCACCUUGGUAUCCCUGGAGGUCCCGUAGCCCUUGCAGCAGGCAUGUAGCCCCGCCUGGCAGCAGGAACAGCAGGCUGCCUCAGGCGGAUGCCGAGUUCCAAAGAGUCCCCCACCAGGGCCUCCAAGAGCUGGUGUGGUUACUUCCUUUGUCAUUUCACCCGGUCAGAUGCCCUUGAGCGGGUCAGGGUCAUUUUUAUCCUGAGCAGCAUUGUUUAGUUUAGUGUUUACCCCACUCAGGUUACCAGAGGAACAGAUAUUCACAGAGCAGGACAGAGGGUUCGUUAGAUCCUUUUGCCCACAAAACCAUGGAAAAAUGUUAAACGACCUAAACCAACAAUUUAUAUAUAUCUCGAUGAACGCAUGCAGAAGGAAAAAAUGUACUUCACUAGGUUGCAUUGUAAAUCAAGAUACAGAUGCCAAUUAAAGCAAGAUCAUCUAUCAAAA